AAGACGUUAUGCUAAGAGAUGUAUACAAAAGGAUGUUCAUUACAGCCCUGUUUGUAACACAAAAUCACCUAAAUGUUUUUCAAUAGCAGGUUGGCUAAAUAAAUGUUGCUGUGUGGGGUAUAGAGACUGCCCCACAGGUGAGAGGACACUGGCAUCGGCACAGUCAUUGCAACAUUGUAAAUUGCAGAAGAUGGAAGGGACAAGCCAGGUGUCCUUCAACAAGGGCCGGGUUGAGAAGAUUGUGGUAUGGACCUGCGCGGAUGGGACGCCCUCACCAGACAGAUAAGAUCAUCUUCGAGAGGCUGGUUCACGCCCAUGGUCACACAGCUAGCAUGUUCUGUGGAGCCGCAUUCUCUUCUGUCUGACUCAGUGUCCACGGUCUUAACCCUUCAGAAAUACUGCCCAGAAGCCCUCAUCUAGAAGGUUGUGUUUGAGUUUCACUUCCUUGCCCUACCCAAUUUUGGAAAGAACCAUUCAGAAACACCUUGUCUCUUGGGAGAUAUGACAGGUGUUUGUCACUCCAGCAAGAAGUUGGUGAAAGACAAGUCCUAAGUGAUUAACAAACUGGAGGCUUAUGAUUGGUCCCUGGCAUUCCUUGAUGGAGCUGCCCUCGCACCCGGCUCGAGGCUGCGAACUGAUGGACGAGAUCCGGUGGGAGCGGAGGGCUGAGGUCUGGGGCUGCCUCACGCUCACAAGCCAGGCCAGCAGUCAGCAGCAGUGUUGGAGCCCCGCAGACGCCCCGAGGAACAUUCACCGGAUCAUCAUAAUUGAUUCAGGAUUGAGAAUGAUCACUUCAUCCGAAACUGUGGCGUCAGCACAUCCAGCGGACUUUCACGGAGGUAGCAGAAGGGGAGUACGGUUCGGUCUAACCCAGCACGAGAACAUGGCAAUAAGUCAGCACCAGACAAGUUUCUAACAGGCCAUCGUAGUGGAUCCCCACUGGGCACCCUGUCUUGGCCAGAGGGAGAUGAGGACUGUCCAUCGGAACUUUCACCUCUGCUGUGACCGGUCCUCUCUUACUGUGGAUGGCAGGGAAGAGUCUCGGGGCUCUGAAACCAGCCAGGUCAAAGAGUUACAAGUGUCAAAACUCUCAGCAAGAUCUACCAGUGAUGCCGUGACCACAGGUCUCUACUGAAAUUCCUCUUUGCAAGUCAAGAGCAGGUUAACGUGUGCUCAUUGCCUCACUGAAGGAUGCUCAACAGAGAACAGAGAUAUAAAGGCCCAUUUUGCUGACUUUUGAGUUUCUCAAGUCUAAGCCCUGAGAGUGAAGGAAGGAGCCCAUAUAUACCAGAGAUUUGGGAAUACAUGAUGCUCCGUUUGAAGGUCCUUGUCCCCAGACCCUGCGUUUCUCUGGUGGAGGAGGUGGCUUAGAGGGUGUCCGCUUCCUUACCUGUAAUAUGAUGAGUGUGAAUGAGAUGAUCUAAAGUGCCUUCUAGCACCAGAAUUUUUAGGUUACCUUGCUCUCCUUGGUUAAGGUGACUUCUAAGCAAAAGUAACAUUCCCCUGUUCUCCUUCAGCACAAAUGGAGUUCAUUCUGAAGGUAUGAUGGCCAGCUGUGUCCUGGAGGGGCCCAAGGAAGGGAGCCGUAUCCAUGUGCCCUGGGUCAAUAGGAGAGGAGCACUUUCACCCUCUUCAUGACGGGCCUGGACUGCCCUGCUCAGGCAGGCAGUACUCCUCCAGGCUUCGGUGAACAAUUUCCUUCCCCCUCACAUUAGUUUAAUUGAGCUUUCCUUUCUGUGUCUGCACGUCAGUUGGUAUUCAGCGAACCAUGUGGUUUAUAGAUGUAUAGAUAGAAUUUGACUCUAGAACUCCUUUCCAGUGCGACCUCUGUGCCUCUCUUCAGCUCCCUCCUUUUCCAGGAAAAGUCAUUGAGAGGUACAAGAAAACACCUUGAGAGGGAAGUUGCUGGAGUAAGCUCUUCUCAGCUUUAAUGUUCUGUCUGGUGCCCAGUUUGUCCCCUGCUCUUAGCGAUUGUUCCAGAUCUUACUGACUCAGCCACUAAGCCCAGAGGCAAAUACAGCCUGCACAGCAGCCAGACAAAAACAUCAUCCAGCUUUCCUUGAGUGUGUCACGAGGCUCAAAAGUUCAUGGGGGGAGACUGAGUGUCUUCUCUGCUGGAAGAAAGAGAAAUUUCCACAGCCUUGUUUAUGUGUCUCACACUGGCAGUUGUGACCUUGAGGAGACUGACAGGAGAUUAGGAAGAAGUUGAGUCACCCAUUGGCUGACCCUGAGCUGCUGUCCAAAGGUGCAGAGAGAAGUCUAAUGUCCUGGGGUCCCUUUUCUUCUGGGCCACACCCCACCUUCCUCAUCAAUUCUCCUGCUGACCCUCCCUCCGUCCCCCUGCCUCUAGGUCAGCUCAGGCCCCACCAGUGUUUUUCAUCACAACACAUCUCCUCCCCAAGUCCCAUGCCUACGCUCCCUUGGGAGUAUGUUAGGGUGCUGUUUGCAGGACUGUGGAUUAAAGACCCCUGAGGGCCUCUCACCUGACCACAGGAAGUGAGCAGUCAAAGAAAUCGGGGUGUUGUCUGUUUUCCAGGAAGAUACCUUGGUGGGAUUGUUUUUUGUUGUUAAUGGUGGCAGCCUCUUUUUGACAAAGUUAUGAAGAUCAAGUUUAUUUCAGCCCCUGGCUUCCCUUUCUGAAAGAUCUUUUUCACUGACUGCUCUAGCACCCCCAAAACCCAACUCUUCCCUGUGAAAACCUCCUUCCAUGAAAUCCCUAUCAUCUCAUCCCUUCUUCCUUCCUUCUUUUCCUUCUUUCUUCCUCUCUCUCUCUUCCUUCCUUCCUUUCUUCCCUCCUUUCUCUCUUUCUUUCAGAUU